rnacentral:lncRNA from 1 species
CUUAGACCUAAGCUGAUUAAUGAGUUUCUAGCUCUGCCUCUUGCCACAGACCAUACACACCCAUUACCAAUGAGCAAUAGAUUCCGGUAACCCCCUCCUGUCUACCAGAGUCCUCUCCCUGUAACCCAGAAUGUUUGCACGUCCCACCCGCGCUUUGCCCAGCUCCUCACUGUCCUUGGACUUCCCUGGAGAACGUAGAACUGAUGUGCACUGUUGGCUCCUGUUGUGCUGCACAGGCCUCCGUACAAACGGAACUCAAGGGUUAGUCUUUGUGACUCGUGAGGUGACUACACUAACACCUGGUGUUGAUAAGAUGGCAUGAAAACAGCCAGCUCUGGAAGUCGUGCGGAGUGAUGGCUCAGAAGUGAAUAGUGCUUGCUGCUCUUUCCAAGGACCCGAGAUGGGUUACCAGCACCCAUGUUCUCCAGAUCACAGUCUUCGCUAACUCCAGCUCCAGGGCUUCUAACCCCCUCUUCUGGCCUCCAUGGUACCUUUACUCAUGUGCCUGACAUCCUCCCACACAUACUUAAUGAAAAAUUAGAAUUAAAUCUUUAAUAAUAAUAAUAAAGAGUCCCGGAAGAGUUUCACAUUCUUUUCAGUGCUACUUAUUAUAUUCUGAAGAAUUAUUUGGGGGGCUUAAUUAAAAUAACAAUGUGAGGCAGAAUCAUAACACUUUCAAAAUAUUUAUACUGAAUACGUAUCUUUUUUUAACUUAGGAAUGUGUGUGUAUCUCUCAUGUGUAUUUAG